rnacentral:rRNA from 1 species
UGGGGAAUAUUGGACAAUGGGCGAAAGCCUGAUCCAGCAAUGCCGCGUGAGUGAUGAAGGCCCUAGGGUUGUAAAGCUCUUUUACCCGGGAUGAUAAUGACAGUACCGGGAGAAUAAGCUCCGGCUAACUUCGUGCCAGCAGCCGCGGUAAUACGAGGGGAGCUAGCGUUGUUCGGAAUUACUGGGCGUAAAGCGCGCGUAGGCGGUUUUUUAAGUCAGAGGUGAAAGCCCGGGGCUCAACCCCGGAAUAGCCUUUGAAACUGGAAAACUAGAAUCUUGGAGAGGUCAGUGGAAUUCCGAGUGUAGAGGUGAAAUUCGUAGAUAUUCGGAAGAACACCAGUGGCGAAGGCGACUGACUGGACAAGUAUUGACGCUGGGGUGCGAAAGCGUGGGGAGCAAACA